UGUCAUGCUGGGGAGUGUAGUGAACGUCGUCAUGCUUCUCACUGCUCCCCCCGGUGUCCGGC
rnacentral:precursor_RNA from 1 species